CUGACAGAAACACACACACGUUUGUCUGUCUCCACGGUGACUCUUCCUGUUGUGGUUCCUACAAGAUUAAGAAAAAACACAACACAAGCUGGGAAUCCCUGUUAAGAGAUCUGGCAGAACAGAGAAAAAGACAGUGAAGCAGAACUUGGUUUAAAAAGUUCACUACCAAAAAGAAAUCUCCUUCAAGAUGUCCGGGUUCUAGAGCAAAGCCAGAUCUCAAUCUUGAACUCCUUCAUGAAACAAAACUUCCAUCCUCUGCACAGCUCUGCUUUAUCAUCCAUGGACUCCACUAACUUCACUUUUAAAAGGGGAUCGACAGCAGAUCUCAACCUUUUUUGCCUUGAGGCGCCCCUCAAUAGACAAGACACCCC